GACGAACGCUGGCGGCGUGCUUAAUACAUGCAAGUCGAGCGAGGUUACUGUUUCGGAUCCCUUCGGGGUGAAGAAGCUUUAACCUAGCGGCGGACGGGUGAGUAACGCGUGGGUAACCUACCCCAAAGUCCGGGAUAACAGCGGGAAACCGCUGCUAAUACCGGAUGCCUUUACCUUGGGGCAUCUUGAGGUAAAGAAAGGCAACGCUUUGGGAUGGGCCCGCGUCCCAUUAGCUAGUUGGUGAGGUAACGGCUCACCAAGGCGACGAUGGGUAGCCGGCCUGAGAGGGUGGACGGCCACACUGGGACUGAGACACGGCCCAGACUCCUACGGGAGGCAGCAGUAGGGAAUAUUGCGCAAUGGACGGAAGUCUGACGCAGCGACGCCGCGUGAGCGAUGAAGGUCUUCGGAUCGUAAAGCUCUGUCCUUGGGGAAGAAGGCGAAAGCUUGACGGUACCCAAGAAGAAAGCCCCGGCUAACUACGUGCCAGCAGCCGCGGUAAGAGUACUCUAU
rnacentral:rRNA from 1 species